CUGGCGGCAUGCCUUACACAUGCAAGUCGAACGGCAGCGCGGGAGCAAUCCUGGUGGCGAGUGGCGAACGGGUGAGUAAUACAUCGGAACGUGUCCUGUAGUGGGGGAUAGCCCGGCGAAAGCCGGAUUAAUACCGCAUACGCUCUGCGGAGGAAAGCGGGGGAUCCUUCGGGACCUCGCGCUACAGGGGCGGCCGAUGGCAGAUUAGCUAGUUGGUGGGGUAAAGGCCCACCAAGGCUACGAUCAGUAGCUGGUCUGAGAGGAUGAUCAGCCUCACUGGGACUGAGACACGGCCCAGACUCCUACGGGAGGCAGCAGUGGGGAAUAUUGGACAAUGGGCGCAAGCCUGAUCCAGCCAUGCCGCGUGGGUGAUGAAGGCCCUAGGGUUGUAAAGCCCUUUCGGCGGGGAAGAUAAUGACGGUACCCGCAGAAGAAGCCCCGGCUAACUUCGUGCCAGCAGCCGCGGUAAUACGAAGGGGGCUAGCGUUGCUCGGAAUCACUGGGCGUAAAGCGCACGUAGGCGGAUUGCUAAGUCAGGGGUGAAAUCCUGGAGCUCAACUCCAGAACUGCCCUUGAUACUGGCGACCUCGAGUCCGGGA
rnacentral:rRNA from 1 species